rnacentral:rRNA from 1 species
UUAAGCCAUGCGAGUCGAACGAGUUUAGGCUCGUGGCGUACGGCUCAGUAACACGUGGAUAACCUACCCUUAGGACCGGGAUAACCUUGGGAAACUGAGGAUAAUACUGGAUAGGCAAUUAUUUCUGCAAUGGUUUUUUGUUUAAAUGUUUUUUUCGCCUAAGGAUGGGUCUGCGGCCGAUUAGGUAGUUGGUUAGGUAAAGGCUUACCAAGCCGUUGAUCGGUACGGGUUGUGAGAGCAAGAGCCCGGAGAUGGAACCUGAGACAAGGUUCCAGGCCCUACGGGGUGCAGCAGGCGCGAAACCUCCGCAAUGUGAGAAAUCGCGACGGGGGGAUCCCAAGUGCCAUUCUUAACGGGAUGGCUUUUCAUUAGUGUAAAGAGCUUUUGGAAUAAGGGCUGGGCAAGACCGGUGUCAGCCGCCGCGGUAA